rnacentral:rRNA from 1 species
GACGAACGCUGGCGGCGUGCUUAACACAUGCAAGUCGAACGGAAAGGCCCUGCUUUUGUGGGGUGCUCGAGUGGCGAACGGGUGAGUAACACGUGAGUAACCUGCCCUUGACUUUGGGAUAACUUCAGGAAACUGGGGCUAAUACCGGAUAGGAGCUCCGGCUGCAUGGUGGGGGUUGGAAAGUUUCGGCGGUUGGGGAUGGACUCGCGGCUUAUCAGCUUGUUGGUGGGGUAGUGGCUUACCAAGGCUUUGACGGGUAGCCGGCCUGAGAGGGUGACCGGCCACAUUGGGACUGGGAUGCGGCCCAGACUCCUACGGGAGGCAGCAGUGGAGAAUAGUGCACAAUGGGCGGAAGCCUGAUGCAGCAACGCCGCGUGCGGGAUGACGGCCUUCGGUUUGUAAACCGCUUUCGCCUGUGACGAAGCGUGAGUGGCGGUAAUGGGUAAAGAAGCACCGGCUAGGUACGUG